rnacentral:rRNA from 1 species
UACGUAGGGUCCGAGCGUUGUCCGGAAUUAUUGGGCGUAAAGAGCUCGUAGGCGGUUUGUCGCGUCUGCUGUGAAAACUGGAGGCUCAACCUCCAGCCUGCAGUGGGUACGGGCAUGACUGGAGUUCGGCAGGGGAGACUGGAAUUCCUGGUGUAGCGGUGAAAUGCGCAGAUAUCAGGAGGAACACCGGUGGCGAAGGCGGGGUCUCUGGGCCGUAACUGACGCUGGAGGAGCGAAAGCAUUGGGGAGCGAACAGGA